GCGUAAUUCAAGGGUGUGGCGCGAGCUCCCUAGGGAGCGAAGCAAUUGGAAGUGGUUCCAAGAAAAGCCUCUAAGCUUCAGUCUAACGAUGACCGUACCGCAAACCGACACAGGUGGGCGAGAUGAGUAUUCUAAGGCGCUUGAGAGAACUCGGGAGAAGGAACUCGGCAAAUUGGUACCGUAACUUCGGGAUAAGGUACGCCCUUGUAGCUUGACUGGCCUGCGCCAGGAGGGUGAAGGGGUUGCAAUAAACUGGUGGCUGCGACUGUUUAAUAAAAACACAGCACUCUGCAAACACGAAAGUGGACGUAUAGGGUGUGACGCCUGCCCGGUGCCGGAAGAUUAAAUGAUGGGGUGCAAGCUCUUGAUUGAAGUCCCGGUAAACGGCGGCCGUAACUAUAACGGUCCUAAGGUAGCGAAAUUCCUUGUCGGGUAAGUUCCGACCUGCACGAAUGGCGUAACGAUGGCCACACUGUCUCCUCCCGAGACUCAGCGAAGUUGAAGUGUUUGUGAUGAUGCAAUCUACCCGCGGCUAGACGGAAAGACCCCAUGAACCUUUACUGUAGCUUUGCAUUGGACUUUGAACCGAUCUGUGUAGGAUAGGUGGGAGGCUAUGAAACCGGAACGCUAGUUUCGGUGGAGCCGUCCUUGAAAUACCACCCUGGUUUGUUUGAGGUUCUAACCUUGGCCCGUGAUCCGGGUCGGGGACAGUGCAUGGUAGGCAGUUUGACUGGGGCGGUCUCCUCCCAAAGCGUAACGGAGGAGUACGAAGGUACGCUAGGUACGGUCGGAAAUCGUGCUGAUAGUGCAAUGGCAUAAGCGUGCUUAACUGCGAGACCGACAAGUCGAGCAGGUGCGAAAGCAGGUCAUAGUGAUCCGGUGGUUCUGUAUGGAAGGGCCAUCGCUCAACGGAUAAAAGGUACUCUGGGGAUAACAGGCUGAUACCGCCCAAGAGUUCAUAUCGACGGCGGUGUUUGGCACCUCGAUGUCGGCUCAUCUCAUCCUGGGGCUGUAGCCGGUCCCAAGGGUAUGGCUGUUCGCCAUUUAAAGAGGUACGUGAGCUGGGUUUAAAACGUCGUGAGACAGUUUGGUCCCUAUCUGCCGUGGGCGUUGGAUAUUUGAAGGGGGCUGCUCCUAGUACGAGAGGACCGGAGUGGACGAACCUCUGGUGUACCGGUUGUCACGCCAGUGGCAUCGCCGGGUAGCUAUGUUCGGAAGAGAUAACCGCUGAAAGCAUCUAAGCGGGAAACUCGCCUUAAGAUGAGAUAUCCCUGGGGACUAGAUCCCCUUGAAGGGUCGUUCGAGACCAGGACGUUGAUAGGUCAGGUGUGUAAGCGCAGUAAUGCGUUCAGCUAACUGAUACUAAUUGCCCGUAAGGCUUGAUCCU
rnacentral:rRNA from 1 species